AUGUGUGUGUUCUUCUGGACAGCUAAGGAUCGGGUUAAUGGAUGGCGGUGCUUGGUAGCGUGGAACAAGAUUUGCAGACCGAUCGGCUUUGGGGGGCUGGGUGUAAAGAACCUGCAAUUACAAGCGCUGGCACUUCGUGUGUGAUGGGAGUGGCUCCACAGAACGGACCCGGAUAGACCCUGGCAAGGAAUUCCUUUGAAUGUUGACAAGGAGACGAGGCAGGUGUUU
rnacentral:rRNA from 1 species